rnacentral:rRNA from 1 species
AUGGAUGGAAUGGUGGAUAAACAUUUGACAGAGCCAGAGUUGUUUGAUGAUCCUGAUACCGGGCUUGUACAGGGACUGGAUCAGCUACCUUUGAAAUUCACCGCUUCAAGUUUUUCCAAGUACACGUCUGGAAUUCUUGAUCAUCAUCAUGACCCAAAGGACAGCUACAGCAUUUUGCGCAUGGAUGCAAAUGACACUUGUUUGGAUUCCUUAUCCUCGUAUUCAGAGCGUUCUUGUAAGCAAAACUGGGAAAGCUUAUGUGAUUUCUCCACAGAAUUGCGGUCAUCAUCACAUCAUGUCCAAUCUCGUGGUGGUAGUUUGGAAGCUAUGUUUGGUUUCUCGUCGAAUGGGAGUAUUUGCAAUGAUUUUGAAGAUGACAACGGUAUCACGCUAGUCGAAGGCAACACCAAGAGUAGCUUGUUCUGUACAUCGGAUCUUGCAUUAUUUGGUUCUUGCUCUACUAGAGAUAGCAUCAGCGAGACUCCCAUGUUGUCGUUUGAUGGUGUAAGGUGGUAG